CCUACGGGUGGCAGCAGUGGGGAAUAUUGGGCAAUGGGCGCAAGCCUGACCCAGCAACGCCGCGUGAAGGAAGAAGGCUUUCGGGUUGUAAACCUCUUUUCUCAGGGACGAAGAAAGUGACGGUACCCGAGGAAUAAGCCACGGCUAACUACGUGCCAGCAGCCGCGGUAAUACGUAGGGGGCAAGCGUUAGCCGGAUUUACUGGGUGUAAAGGGCGCGUAGGCGGGACUGCAAGUCAGAUGUGAAAACCACGGGCUCAACCUGUGGACUGCAUUUGAAACUGUAGUUCUUGAGUACUGGAGAGGCAGACGGAAUUCCUAGUGUAGCGGUGAAAUGCGUAGAUAUUAGGAGGAACACCAGUGGCGAAGGCGGUCUGCUGGACAGCAACUGACGCUGAGGCGCGAAAGCGUGGGGAGCAAACAGGAUUAGAUACCCUUGUAGUC
rnacentral:rRNA from 1 species